UGGAUUAGGCAUGCAAGUCGUGCGAUCUCGCAAGGGAUAGCGGCAAACGGGUUAGUAACACGUGAGUAAUUUGCCCUAAAGUCGAACAUAGCUUCGUGAAAACGGAGGUAAUAUUCGAUAUUAUCCUUGGCCCGCAUGGGUUGAAGAUGAAAGCUGGGGACCGCAAGGCCCAGCACUUUAGGAUGAGCUCGCGUCCUAUCAGCUAGUUGGUGGGGUAACGGCCCACCAAGGCUUUUGACGGGUAGCUGGUCUGAGAGGACGACCAGCAACACUGGAACUGAGACACUGCCCAGACUCCUACGGGAGGCUGCAGUCGAGAAUCUUUAGCAAUGGACGAAAGUCUGACUAUGCGACGCCGCGUGCAGGAUGAAGGUUUUCGGAUCGUAAAGCUC
rnacentral:rRNA from 1 species